rnacentral:rRNA from 1 species
GAUGAACGCUGGCGGCGUGCUUAACACAUGCAAGUCGAACGGUGAACGAGGGAGCUUGCUCCCUCCGGAUCAGUGGCGAACGGGUGAGUAACACGUGAGCAAUCUACCCCGAACUCUGGGAUAAGCGCUGGAAACGGCGUCUAAUACCGGAUACGACGCGCGAAGGCAUCUUCUGCGCGUGGAAAGAAUUUCGGUUCGGGAUGAGCUCGCGGCCUAUCAGCUAGUUGGUGAGGUAACGGCUCACCAAGGCGACGACGGGUAGCCGGCCUGAGAGGGUGACCGGCCACACUGGGACUGAGACACGCCCAGACUCCUACGGGAGGCAGCAGUGGGGAAUAUUGCACAAUGGGCGCAAGCCUGAUGCAGCAACGCCGCGUGAGGGACGACGGCCUUCGGGUUGUAAACCUCUUUUAGUAGGGAAGAAGCGAAAGUGACGGUACCUGCAGAAAAAGCACCGGCUAACUACGUGCCAGCCGCCGCAGUAAAAC